UACGGAGGGUGCAAGCGUUACUCGGAAUCACUGGGCGUAAAGGACGCGUAGGCGGGUUGUCAAGUCAGGUGUGAAAUCCUACAGCUUAACUGUAGAACUGCACUUGAAACUGGCAACCUAGAGUAUGGGGGGGGGAGAUGGAAUUAGUGGUGUAGGGGUAAAAUCCGUAGAUAUCACUAGGAAUAUCAAAAGCGAAGGCGAUCUCCUGGAACAUUACUGACGCUAAGGCGUGAAAGCGUGGGGAGCAAACAGGAUUAGAUACCCUGGUAGUCCACGCCCUAAACGAUGAACACUAGUCGUCGGGAUGCUAGUCAUCUCGGUGAUGCACUUAACAGAUUAAGUGUUCCGCCUGGGGAGUACGGUCGCAAGAUUAAAACUCAAAGGAAUAGACGGGGACCCGCACAAGUGGUGGAGCAUGUGGUUUAAUUCGAAGAUACGCGAAAAACCUUACCUAGCCUUGACAUUGAUAGAAUUCUGUAGAGAUACGGAAGUGCCCUUCGGGGAACUUGAAAACAGGUGCUGCACGGCUGUCGUCAGCUCGUGUCGUGAGAUGUUGGGUUAAGUCCCGCAACGAGCGCAACCCUCGUCUUUAGUUGCCAGCAGUUCGGCUGGGCACUCUAAAGAGACUGCCUUCGCAAGAAGGAGGAAGGUGAGGACGACGUCAAGUCAUCAUGGCCCUUAUGGCUAGGGCUACACACGUGCUACAAUGGGGCGUACAGAGAGUUGCGAUACCGCGAGGUGGAGCCAAUCUC
rnacentral:rRNA from 1 species